rnacentral:rRNA from 1 species
CCUACGGGUGGCAGCAGUGGGGAAUAUUGGACAAUGGGGGGAACCCUGAUCCAGCGACGCCGCGUGAGUGAAGAAGUAUUUCGGUAUGUAAAGCCCUAUCAGCAGGGAAGAAAAUGACGGUACCUGACUAAGAAGCCCCGGCUAACUACGUGCCAGCAGCCGCGGGAAUACGUAGGGGGCAAGUGUUAUCCGGAUUUACUGGGUGUAAAGGGAGCGUAGACGGUGCAGCAAGUCUGAUGGGAAAGGUCGGGGACCAACCCCGGGACUGCAUUGGAAACUGUGAAACUUGAGUACAGGAGAGGUGAGCGGAAUGCCUGGUGUAGCGGUGAAAUGCGUAGAUAUUAGGAGGAACACCGGUGGCGAAGGCGGCUUACUGGACUAUAACUGACGUUGAGGCUCGAAAGCGUGGGGAGCAAACAGGAUUAGAUACCCUUGUAGUC